rnacentral:misc_RNA from 1 species
GGAAGGAUCAUUAACAAGCAAAAACAAAUCUCGUGCGAGGUGCAGGAAAACCUGCGCUCUGCAUGGGUUUUUUUUGUUAACAAACUUCAAAUCAUGGCUUUACUAAAUAAUCAUAUACAAUCACAAUCAAUAAAAACAAAACACUUUCAACAAUGGAUAUCUUGGCUCCCGUUUCGAUGAAGAACGUAGCAAACUGCGAUAAUUGACGUGAAUUGCAGAAUAAAGUGAAUCGUCGAGUCUUUGAAUGCACCCUGCACCUCGGGGACAAAUCUCUGAGGUAUGCUUGGUUGAGUGUUACUACAUUAAAUAAAAACAAAAAACAUUUGAAGGUCUCUCUUGAGUCCUUUGAAAAAUUAAUGACAGCUGUGAAGUUCUCGCAAGGAAAGCUGAUGACGCAGAAAGAAGAAUGAAAUUUUCAUUUUGUGAAAUCGACUUUCUCUUUGAGAACAUUCACUUUAUAUGAUAUACCUCAACUCAAGCAAGACUACCCGCUGAAUUUAAGCAUAUUAAUAAGCGGAGGAAAAGAAAACAACAGUGAUUCCCUUAGUAACGGCGAGUGAACAGGGAAGAGCUCAGACUUGAAAUCUGGAAGUCGAUUUCGAUUUCCCGAAUUGUAGUCUUUUGAGUGCGACCCCUUGGUUUCCUCUGUCAUGAAAAAGUAUCCUGGAACGGAUUGGCAUAGAGGGUGAGACCCCCGUUUUCAUAUGACGGAGAGAAGCUGAUACAGUGGGUGGCGCUUGUCGAGUCAGGUUGCUUGAGAGUGCAGCCUAAAACGGGUGGUAAACUCCACCUAAAGCUAAAUAAGCAACGGGAGACCGAUAGUGAAAAAGUACCGUGAGGGAAAGAUGAAAAGUACUCUGGAAAGAGAGUAAAAAGUGCUUGAAAUUGUUGAAAGGGAAGCGUUUGAACCUAGUGGCUGCCUUAUCCUUGGAGAAAUCUUCUAUGCAGCAAUGCCUGGAGGGUAUUUUUCCAGGGAUGGUGGGCUGGCACUGGUUGAGUUGUUGAUCUCAUGAAGGUCAAAAGCAGCUGAAUUGCUUGAAUGGGUUUGAGUGCCGUGGGUGCAGCAGCAGAUCAGGUAACUGGUUUGCUUGCUGUCUGACGGUGCAAACGACCUAUUAUCUUUUAUCAAGCGCAUGCUCACUCGACCAGUAAUUGAGUAAAAAGUCACAGUCCCUUCACCAGCUCAGUCUGCGCUUUGUCCUCUGGCGAGGCUCAAUGUGUGGGGCCACCUCAUUUGUAUCCUUUGCAGAUUCCUGCAAGGGAGCAUGUGAGACCCUGCGCUUGGCGCAGCGUCAUACGGGGAUCGAGUCUGCAGAAGUUCAGAAGGGGUUUGUACUCUGACUGCCAGCGAAAUAAGUUCAAACGUCCCGUCUUGAAACACGGACCAAGGAGUCUAACAUGCACGCGAGCGUUCUGGUGAUUAAAACCAACAAAAUCCAUCAAACGCGAAACGAAAGUGAAAAGAAGUGGGAAGCGGUUCUUUCCAACUUGGGGGCCGCUGCACCACUUGCCCAUCCUGAGGUUCGUCCAACAAGGGUGAGAGUAAAAGUGUGCAUGAUAGGACCCGAAAGAUGGUGAACUAUGCCUGGGUAGGACAAAGCCAGGGGAAACCCUGGUGGAAGUUCGUAGCGAUACUGACGUGCAAAUCGUUCGUCAAACCUGUGCAUAGUGGCGAAAGACUAAUCGAACCAUUUAGUAGCUGGUUCCCUC